rnacentral:rRNA from 1 species
CGGGGGGAGCAAGCGUUGUCGGAUUUACUGGGCGUAAAGGGUCGCGUAGGCGGCCACCGCAAGUCGACUGUGAAAUCUCCGGGCUUAACCCGGAAAGGUCAGCCGAUACUGCGGGCUAGAGUGCAGAAGGGGCAACUGGAAUUCUCGGUGUAGCGGUGAAAUGCGUAGAUAUCGAGAGGAACACCUGCGGCGAAGGCGGGUUGCUGGGCUGACACUGACGCUGAUGCGCGAAAGCUAGGGGAGCGAACGGGAUUAGAUACCCCCGGUAGUCCUAGCCUUAAACGAUGAAUGCUUGGUGUCUGGGGUUUUAUAGUCCCCGGGUGCCGUCGCUAACGCUUUAAGCAUUCCGCCUGGGGAGUACGGUCGCAAGACUG